AGAGUUUGAUCCUGGCUCAGGAUGAACGCUAGCGAUAGGCUUAACACAUGCAAGUCGAGGGGCAGCAUGGUCUUAGCUUGCUAAGACUGAUGGCGACCGGCGCACGGGUGCGUAACGCGUAUGCAACUUGCCUCACAGAGGGGGAUAACCCGUCGAAAGACGGACUAAUACCGCGUACACUUACAGGAGGGCAUCCUCCAGUAAGGAAAUGAAAUUCGCUGUGAGAUAGGCAUGCGUCCCAUUAGCUAGUUGGUGAGGUAACGGCUCACCAAGGCGACGAUGGGUAGGGGAACUGAGAGGUUGAACCCCCACACUGGUACUGAGACACGGACCAGACUCCUACGGGAGGCAGCAGUGAGGAAUAUUGGUCAAUGGGCGAGAGCCUGAACCAGCCAAGUCGCGUGAAGGAUGACUGUCUUAUGGAUUGUAAACUUCUUUUAUACGGGAAUAACAAGAGUCACGUGUGACUCCCUGCAUGUACCGUAUGAAUAAGCAUCGGCUAACUCCGUGCCAGCAGCCGCGGUAAUACGGAGGAUGCGAGCGUUAUCCGGAUUUAUUGGGUUUAAAGGGUGCGUAGGCGGCCUGUUAAGUCAGCGGUGAAAUCUAGGAGCUUAACUCCUAAAUUGCCAUUGAUACUGGCGGGCUUGAGUGUAGAUGAGGUAGGCGGAAUGCGUGGUGUAGCGGUGGAAUGCAUAGAUAUCACGCAGAACUCCGAUUGCGAAGGCAGCUUACUAAGGUACAACUGACGCUGAAGCACGAAAGCGUGGGUAUCAAACAGGAUUAGAUACCCUGGUAGUCCACGCAGUAAACGAUGAUAACUGGGCGUAUGCGAUAUACAGUAUGCUCCUAAGCGAAAGCGUUAAGUUAUCCACCUGGGGAGUACGCCGGCAACGGUGAAACUCAAAGGAAUUGACGGGGGCCCG
rnacentral:rRNA from 1 species